AAGGUUAAAGAAUAAAACCUAGAUGAGAAUUUGAGGAUUUAUUUAAAAUUUUUCAAGUAAAACCUAUAUGGUUUGCUAUUCGAAUGAGAAUAGAGAAAAUAUGGGUUACAAAAUUCCAAAACCCUAGAAAUGAAUUAAUAUGUACUUGAAGGAAUAUUAAGAAUAAGGUAUUACGAUACCUUUAAAUUCGAUGUGAACGGAAUAGUCUAAAAAAAAUUUUAUAUAAGUACAUAUGGAAAUUUUAUUAUUGGAGAUAAGAUUUCACAUGAAGAGAUGCUAUGAGGUUAAACGAAGAUGAGUAUAUGUAUAGAAAUAUAUAUACUUAGUAAGGUGCUAUAUAUAUUUUAGCAAGAGGAAUGAUGAAUUAAGUUAAUGAUAUAAUGAUCAAG
rnacentral:lncRNA from 1 species